AUGAUUUUGGAUCCGACUGAGUGGCGAACUGGUGAGUAACACGUGGGUAACCUGCCCAGAAGAAGGGGAUAACACCUGGAAACAGAUGCUAAUACCGUAUAACAACAAGAACCACAUGGUUCUUGUUUGAAAGCUGGCCUUUGUGCUAGUGCUUCUGGAUGGACCCGCGGCGUAUUAGCUAGUUGGUGAGAUAAUAGCUCACCAAGGCAAUGAUACGUAGCAGACCUGAGAGGGUAAUCUGCCACAAUGGGACUGAGACACGGCCCAUACUCCUACGGGAGGCAGCAGUAGGGAAUCUUCCACAAUGGACGAAAGUCUGAUGGAGCAACGCCGCGUGAGUGAAGAAGGGUUUCGGCUCGUAAAACUCUGUUGUUAGAGAAGAACAGCCGUGAGAGCAACUGCUCACGGUAUGACGGUAUCUAACCAGAAAGUCACGGCUAACUACGUGCCAGCAGCCGCGGUAAUACGUAGGUGGCAAACGUUGUCCGGAUUUAUUGGGCGUAAAGGGAGCGCAGGCGGUUUAUUAAGUCUGAUGUGAAAGCCUUCGGCUUAACCGGAGAAGUGCAUCGGAAACUGAUAAACUUGAGUGCAGAAAAGGAUAGUGGAACUUCAUGUGUAGCGGUGAAAUGCGUAGAUAUAUGAAGGAACACCAGUGGCGAAGGCGGCUAUCUGGUCUGUAACUGACGCUGAGGCUCGAAAGCAUGGGUAGCAAACAGGAUUAGAUACCCUGGUAGUCCAUGCCGUAAACGAUGAAUGCUAGGUGUUGGAAGGUUUCCGCCUUUCAGUGCCGCAGCUAACGCAUUAAGCAUUCCGCCUGGGGAGUACGACCGCAAGGUUGAAACUCAAAGGAAUUGACGGGGACCCGCACAAGCG
rnacentral:rRNA from 2 species